UACGAAGGGGGCUAGCGUUGUUCGGAAUCACUGGGCGUAAAGGGUGCGUAGGCGGCGUGGUAAGUCGGAUGUGAAAUCUCGGAGCUUAACUCCGAAACUGCAUUCGAUACUGCCGUGCUUGAGGACUGGAGAGGAGACUGGAAUUUACGGUGUAGCGGUGAAAUGCGUAGAUAUCGUAAGGAAGACCAGUGGCGAAGGCGGGUCUCUGGACAGUUCCUGACGCUGAGGCACGAAGGCCAGGGGAGCAAACGGG
rnacentral:rRNA from 1 species